UCUUCUUCCAGCAGCUAGGGCGCGACAACUCUCCUCACCAGUGCAUCUUCUUCCUUCCUCACAACCGGCCGGCGGCUUCUUCAUCUUCCCUUUCCUCGUCGCCGGCCGGACCUCCACAGCCCACUUCCUCUUCUAGAUUUCCAGUGGCGACGGCAUAGGCGAACACGGCAGGGAGCAGCAGGCGACCGCGGCGAUUCUGACCAACUCCACCUCACCGGAGGGGUUCUCCGAACCCUCCCAAGCUGGCUACUCCUCUAUUUGAUACUAAAAUGCCAGAGGACCCUAAGAUGGCAUACACAGACCUAGAUAAUCUUCAAAUGGUGUUUUGAACGAAGAGUAGUGUUUGGUCUUGCAUUGUUAUGGUGUCUGAGUGUUGGCUUGGUCUCUGUUGGCUUGCUACAUAUCUAGAAAGCUCCAUGAUUUGUGCUAAGCUGAAGCGUAUCCAAUUUGGAUUUUCCAGCUCAAAAUAUCAGUAGAUUUGUUGUGGUAGUGCCUUAACAGGAUUUGAGGCUUCUCCAUUCAGGAAAAGACAAGUCCAGUAGAUACAAAAAUUACAAGAUCACAAGUUUGGAUUGAAGGUCACAACAAAAAAAAAUGGGAAGCCUAGUACUCAAGCUGUUGGAGAGAAAAUAGUGGACCUAAUUCGACCAAAUGAUGAAAUGCAGUUUCUCGAUGAUGCAAUAGAAAGUACGGUCGCAUGGUUAUCUAUAUUUAUAGUAUUGUGUGAUUGAUAUAUAUUAUACUAAUUU